rnacentral:rRNA from 1 species
AAUAGAUACCUGGUAGUCCACGCCGUAAACGAUGUCGACUUGGAGGUUGUUCCCUUGAGGAGUGGCUUCCGGAGCUAACGCGUUAAGUCGACCGCCUGGGGAGUACGGCCGCAAGGUUAAAACUCAAAUGAAUUGACGGGGGGCCCGCACAAGCGGUGGAGCAUGUGGUUUAAUUCGAUGCAACGCGAAGAACCUUACCUACUCUUGACAUCCAGAGAACUUAGCAGAGAUGCUUUGGUGCCUUCGGGAACUCUGAGACAGGUGCUGCAUGGCUGUCGUCAGCUCGUGUUGUGAAAUGUUGGGUUAAGUCCCGCAACGAGCGCAACCCUUAUCCUUUGUUGCCAGCGGUCCGGCCGGGAACUCAAAGGAGACUGCCAGUGAUAAACUGGAGGAAGGUGGGGAUGACGUCAAGUCAUCAUGGCCCUUACGAGUAGGGCUACACACGUGCUACAAUGGCGUAUACAAAGAGAAGCGACCUCGCGAGAGCAAGCGGACCUCAUAAAGUACGUCGUAGUCCGGAUUGGAGU